CCCAACUCCCAUUGGCAUGGAGGAAACCUGCCCUCUGGGUGGUCACCUGGCUCCCCUGGAGUGAGUGACAUCAACAGGGGCUCGGGCCCUAAACUCCUCUGAGGUGCUGGGCCUAGGGGUAAAUAACACUGAGACUAGUGGACUGUCUGUCUGUCCAGCACUGCACACCCCUCCCAUGUAAUCUAUCCAUCCCCAGCCCCCAUCUGUCCACCCCCAUCCACUCUCUAGCCCCACACACCCCUCAUCCAUCCAUCUAGCCCCAUGCACCCCAUGUGUCCACCCACCCCAUCCCCCAUCCACUCCUUCUAUCUCUGUCCCCACACACCCCUCAUGCAUCCAUCUAGCCCCAUGCACCCCAUCCGUCCACCCCCCCAUCCACUCCUAUCUCUAUCCCCACACACCCCUCAUCCAUCCAUCUAGCCCCAUGCACCCCAUCUAUCCAUCUACCCCACCCCCCAUCCACCCCCGUCUACUCCCUCUCUCUGUAUCCCCACACACCCCUCUCAUCUAUCUGUCUACCCCCUUAUACCCCAUCUAUCCAUCCACCGCACCCCUAUCUAUCCAUCCCCGUCCACUCCCUCUAUCUCUAUCCCCACACACCGCUCAUCCAUCCAUCUAUCCCCAUACACCCCAUCUGUCCAUCUACCCCACCCCUCAUCUAUCCACCCCCAUCCACUCUUUCUCUCUAUCCCCACACACCCCUCAUCCAUCCAUCUACCCCACUCCAUCUAUCCACUCCCUCUCUCUAUCCCCACACAUCCCUCAUCCAUCGAUCUAUCCCCAUUAAUCCCAUCUAUCCAUCCCCAUCCACUCCCUCUGUAUUCCCACACACCCCUCAUCCAUCCAUCCAUCUAUCCCAUACACCCCUCUCCAUCUACCCCCAUACACCCUAUCUCUCUGUGCGUCUGUCUACCCCCUCACACCUCUCUCAUCCAUCUAUUUACUCCCAUACGCGCCCUCUAUCUACUUCCAUACACCCAUCUAUCUAUCUGUGUCUAUCUGUCCCCAUACACCCCAUCUAUCUAUGUGCCUACCCCAUACACCCCAUCUAUCUGUCUGUGCGUCUACCCCUAUACACUCCCUCUAUCUAUCGAGCUAUCGAUCUAUCCCCAUACACACCUCUCAUCUGUCUGUCUAUGUACCCCCUUCUACCCUAUCUGCCCCCAUUCACCCCAUGUCUCCCUCUCUCUCGUUCAAGUGUCACACUCCACAGUCCAUUAUGGGGG
rnacentral:lncRNA from 1 species